AUGCACUGCAUCCCAAUCACUCACACUCACAGAGAAAACUGAUAAAGCUUAUACUGGGAGCUGGGGGCAUGUACUAUGCCAAGGCCUAAUUUUCUUUUCUGGAAAAACCUUAAAGGCUGCCAUAAGGCUCUUCUCUGAAAAAAAAUCUACUUAAGUUCACUUUACAAUCACCAUGUAAUGCGUAUAUCUAACUGAAGCUUGAAAUUAAUUGUGAAUGUUCUGAAAAAAAAGUCACUGCAGGAUCAUUUCACCAAGAUCCUCUGCAAGAGUACAAAGGUGGCAGGACAGCAUGUGCUCAGAAGGAGAGAGACUGCUGGUGGCGGCCCCCGGGCGGCGCGGUGUCCUGGCCGAGUAGUGUGGGAGCGAGGCAGCGGUUACCUGCGGGGGCCUCCGGGGGGCGCCGGCUCUCGGGGGCCAGAGCAUCGGCCAG